UACGUAGGGUGCGAGCGUUGUCCGGAAUUAUUGGGCGUAAAGGGCUCGUAGGCGGUUUGUCGCGUCUGCUGUGAAAACUGGAGGCUCAACCUCCAGCCUGCAGUGGGUACGGGCAGACUAGAGUGCGGUAGGGGAGAUUGGAAUUCCUGGUGUAGCGGUGGAAUGCGCAGAUAUCAGGAGGAACACCGAUGGCGAAGGCAGAUCUCUGGGUCGUAACUGACGCUGAGGAGCGAAAGCAUGGGGAGCGAACAGG
rnacentral:rRNA from 1 species